rnacentral:tRNA from 1 species
UGGCCCGUUGGUCAAGUGGUUAAGACACCGCCCUUUCACGGCGGUAACAUGGGUUCAAAUCCCGUACGGGUCAUCC